GACGAACGCUGGCGGCGUGCUUAACACAUGCAAGUCGAACGCUGAAGCUUGGUGCUUGCACUGGGUGGAUGAGUGGCGAACGGGUGAGUAAUACGUGAGUAACCCGCCCUUGACUCUGGGAUAAGCCUGGGAAACUGGGUCUAAUACUGGAUAUGACAUGCCACUGCAUGGUGGUGUGUGGAAAGGGUUUUACUGGUUUUGGAUGGGCUCACGGCCUAUCAGCUUGUUGGUGGGGUAAUGGCCUACCAAGGCGACGACGGGUAGCCGGCCUGAGAGGGUGACCGGCCACACUGGGACUGAGACACGGCCCAGACUCCUACGGGAGGCAGCAGUGGGGAAUAUUGCACAAUGGGCGGAAGCCUGAUGCAGCGACGCCGCGUGAGGGAUGACGGCCUUCGGGUUGUAAACCUCUUUCAGCACGGAAGAAGCGAGAGUGACGGUACGUGCAGAAGAAGCGCCGGCUAACUACGUG
rnacentral:rRNA from 1 species